GACGAACGCUGGCGGCGUGCCUAACACAUGCAAGUCGAACGGAGUCGGCCCCGCAAGGGACUGACUUAGUGGCGAACGGGUGAGUAACGCGUGAGCAACCUGCCUUUCAGUGGGGGACAACAGUUGUAAACGACUGCUCAUACCGCAUAAUGCAUUUUGACCGCAUGAUCGAGAUGCCAAAGAUUUAUUGCUGAAAGAUGGGCUCGCGUCUGAUUAGAUAGUUGGUGAGGUAACGGCCCACCAAGUCGACGAUCAGUAGCCGGACUGAGAGGUUGAACGGCCACAUGGGGACUGAGAUACGGCCCAGACUCCUACGGGAGGCAGCAGUGGGGAAUAUUGGGCAAUGGGGGAAACCCUGACCCAGCAACGCCGCGUGAAGGAAGAAGGCUUUCGGGUUGUAAACUUCUUUUACCAGGGACGAAGAAAGUGACGGUACCUGGAGAAAAAGCCACGGCUAACUACGUG
rnacentral:rRNA from 1 species